CAUAUCCAAAAAAAAAAAAAAGAAUAGAAUAAUAGAUUAUUUAUUAUUUUCUUUCAACCCAUGGAGUGUGUUAUUGUAUUGUCAUUUGGCUUCCAUUGCAGCUACUGAGAAGUUAGUGGUCCAUCUCACUGCCAUUCCUUUGAUAAUGAUCUCCACACUUUCCCUGACCUCAAAUUUUUUCCUUUGAUGUUCAUUAGUUUUAUUGUGAUGAAUUUGAGUGAGAAUUUUUCUUUCUUUUUCUCCUUUCUUUCCUUUCCUUUCCCUCCCUCCCAUUCUCUCUUUCUUUCUUUUCUUUCUACCUUCUUUCCUUUUCCUCCUUUUUUCCCUUUCCUUCCCUCCUUUGUUCUUUUUCUUCUUCUCCUUCUCUCCUGCCCACCUUUCUUCCUGGGAUUUGUUUGGCCUCUUGAGUAUGUGAAUUAAUUUCAUUAAUAGGUUCUGGAAAAGUUUAGGCCAGUAUUUCUUCAAAUACUGUUUCUGCCAUAUAAUCUCUGGUCUUCUAGUGCUCUAAUUAAAUAUAUGUUAGACUUUCUCACUCUAUCUUCUAUGAAUUUUAAUUUCUCUUUCAUAUAUUGUAUUUCUUUAAAUUUCUAUGCUUCAUUCUGUAAAAUCUUGUGACCCAACCUUCUUGUUCUCUAAUUCUCUUUUCAGUUGUA
rnacentral:lncRNA from 1 species